rnacentral:rRNA from 1 species
AGAGUUUGAUCCUGGUCCAAAUUGUUUCCUGGCGGCAUGCUUAACACAUGCAAGUCGAACGGAAACGACAAGAGCUUGCUCUUGGGCGUCGAGUGGCGGACGGGUGAGUAACGCGUGGGAACAUGCCUAUUAGUUGGGGACAACCUGUGGAAACGCAGGCUAAUACCGAAUAAGCACUAUGGUGUAAAGGUGGCCUCUCCUUGGAAGCUAUCGCUGAUAGAUUGGCCCGCGUUGGAUUAGCUAGUUGGUGGGGUAAAGGCCCACCAAGGCGACGAUCCAUAGCUGGUUUGAGAGGAUGAUCAGCCACACUGGGACUGAGACACGGCCCAGACUCCUACGGGAGGCAGCAGUGGGGAAUAUUGGACAAUGGGGGCAACCCUGAUCCAGCAAUGCCGCGUGUGUGAAGAAGGCCUGAGGGUUGUAAAGCACUUUCAAUCGUGAAGAAGGGUGUGUAGUUAAUAACUGCAUACAUUGACGUUAACGAUAGAAGAAGCACCGGCUAACUCUGUGCCAGCAGCCGCGGUAAUACAGAGGGUGCAAGCGUUAAUCGGAAUUACUGGGCGUAAAGCGCGCGUAGGUGGUUUGAUAAGUUAGAUGUGAGAGCCCCGGGCUCAA